rnacentral:rRNA from 1 species
UUAAGUAGGGCGGGACACGUGAAAUCCUGUCUGAAGAUCGGAGGACCACCUUCGAAGGCUAAGUACUCCUUACUGACCGAUAGCGAACCAGUACCGUGAGGGAAAGGUGAAAAGCACCCCGACGAGGGGAGUGAAACAGUACCUGAAACCGAACGCCUACAAUCAGUUGGAGGGCCCAUGCGGCCUGACAGCGUACCUUUUGUAUAAUGGGUCAUCGACUUAGUGUAUCUAGCAAGCUUAAGCCGUUAGGUGUAGGCGC